rnacentral:rRNA from 1 species
GACGAACCGUGCGAACGUUGUUCGGAAUCACUGGGCUUAAAGGGCGCGUAGGCGGGCUCGCCAGUCCGGGGUGAAAUCCCCCCGCUCAACGGGGGAAUGGCCUGGGAUACGGCGAGCCUCGAGGGGGGUAGGGGCGGUCGGAACUUCCGGUGGAGCGGUGAAAUGCGUAGAGAUCGGAAGGAACGCCGGUGGCGAAAGCGGACCGCUGGGCCCUCACUGACGCUGAGGCGCGAAAGCCAGGGGAGCGAACGGG